CCUACGGGUGGCAGCAGUGGGGAAUAUUGGGCAAUGGGCGAAAGCCUGACCCAGCAACGCCGCGUGAAGGAAGAAGGCUUUCGGGUUGUAAACCUCUUUUGACAGGGAAGAGCAGAAGACGGUACAUGCCGAAUAAGCCACAGCUAACUACGUGCCAGCAGCCACGGUAAUACGGAGGUGGCAAGCGUUGUUCGGAUUUACUGGGUGUAAAGGGCGACUAGCCGGGCUGACAAGUCAGAGGUGAAAUCCGGGGGCUCAACCCCCGAACUGCGUUUGAAACUGUUGGUCUUGAGUAUCGGAGAGGCAGGCGGAAUUCCUGGUGUAGCGGUGAAAUGCGUAGAUAUUAGGAGGAACACCAGUGGCGAAGGCGGCCUGCUGGACGACAACUGACGGUGAGGCGCGAAGGCGUGGGGAGCAAACAGGAUUAGAUACCCUUGUAGUC
rnacentral:rRNA from 1 species